ensembl:rRNA 5S_rRNA 5S ribosomal RNA
GCCUACGGCCAUACCACCCUGAGAACACCCGAUCUCGUCUGAUCUCGGAAGCUAAGCAGGGUCGGGCCCGGUUAGUACUUGGAUGGGAGACCGCCUGGGAAUACCGGGUGCUGUAGGCU